rnacentral:rRNA from 1 species
AAGGCUGGGGGGUGCUAUAAUGCAGUCGAGCGAACUGAUUAGAAGCUUGCUUCUAUGACGUUAGCGGCGGACGGGUGAGUAACACGUGGGCAACCUGCCUGUAAGACUGGGAUAACUUCGGGAAACCGAAGCUAAUACCGGAUAGGAUCUUCUCCUUCAUGGGAGAUGAUUGAAAGAUGGUUUCGGCUAUCACUUACAGAUGGGCCCGCGGUGCAUUAGCUAGUUGGUGAGGUAACGGCUCACCAAGGCAACGAUGCAUAGCCGACCUGAGAGGGUGAUCGGCCACACUGGGACUGAGACACGGCCCAGACUCCUACGGGAGGCAGCAGUAGGGAAUCUUCCGCAAUGGACGAAAGUCUGACGGAGCAACGCCGCGUGAGUGAUGAAGGCUUUCGGGUCGUAAAACUCUGUUGUUAGGGAAGAACAAGUACGAGAGUAACUGCUCGUACCUUGACGGUACCUAACCAGAAAGCCACGGCUAACUACGUGCCAGCAGCCGCGGUAAUACGUAGGUGGCAAGCGUUAUCCGGAAUUAUUGGGCGUAAAGCGCGCGCAGGCGGUUUCUUAAGUCUGAUGUGAAAGCCCACGGCUCAACCGUGGAGGGUCAUUGGAAACUGGGGAACUUGAGUGCAGAAGAGAAAAGCGGAAUUCCACGUGUAGCGGUGAAAUGCGUAGAGAUGUGGAAAACCCCGGGGGGAGGGGGUGGUUUUUUUGCCAUUCAGACACAGAGGGGGGGGAAAGGGGGAACAAAAACAUUUAAUAUCCCGGUUUUGCCCCCCCCUUAACUAGGGUGAUGUGUUUGAGGGUGUCCCCCCCCCUUUGUCCCACCACAACCCUAUUCCCCUUUCCCCCUGGGGAGCAGCGCCACAGGGUUAAAACUAAAAGCAAUAGGGGGGGGCGCGCACACGCUGUGGACUUUUUUUUUUUUUGAGACCAAACGAAAAGCCUUUUCCCGUUUCUUCACAUUUUGUCACACUCAUAAAGAUAGGGUUUUCCCUCUGGGGGCAAAGAGUCACAUGUGGCGCGGGUUUGUUCUCAGCUCGUGUCGAGAGGUUUUGUUUUAAUUCCCCCCAAGAGCGAAACCCUUGAUUAUUUUUCCCCACCUUUAGGGGGGCUCUAAAAGGUGACCGCCGGUGACAACCCGGAGGAGGGUGGGGGAGACGACAUAUUCUCAUGCCCUAUAUGACGGGGGACACACACGUUCUACAAGGGGGGGCAAAAAGCGCAACAAACCCGAGAGGUAGACCCAAUCCCAAAAACCCACUCUCAUUUGGGAUUAUAGGCUACAACUCGCCCACAAAAAGCGGGAAUCGCUAGUAAUCGCGGCUCCACACGCCGCGGUGAAUGCGUCCCCGCCCCUUGUACACCCCCCGCGUCACCCCACGAGAUUGUGUCACACCAGAAGUCGGUGGGGUAUCCGUAAGGAGCCAGCCGCUUAAGGUGGGACAGAUGAUUGGGGGAAGUCGUCACUAAGAGGUCCGCC